AAACUCGCCUUUCCUUUGUAAGUAAGUUGAGUUACCAUCGGACGCUGGAAGUGCACGGAUCGAGUAUGUGGACAGCUAUCUGACAACACGAUUGGCACUGAUUGAAGCCAGGGAAGGAGUUUAAAAUAAACAGUAAUAAUUCAGCAGUAUUAAAAUAUAAUAGGAUGGCUGCUCCACCUCCCUACCCCGGUUAUCACCCUCCUGCAGCAUAUCCCCAGCCACAUCCCGGCUAUGCACCUCAACCCUAUAUGCAACCGAUGCCAAUGAUGCAGCAACAACAACAACAGCAGCAGCAGCAACAGUCGUCACAACAGAGUACAAGUAACGUUGUUGUUGUCAAUUCUGGUCAGCCACAACCCACGAACACUAUUAUCGUCAAUAGGAGAGGUGUAAAUCAUUGUCUACAUUGUUGUAUAACUUUAUUCUUCUUCCCAUGGGUCAUAGUGUGGAUAGUAUUGUGUAUAACCGACAGAGACUAGCAAAUGUUUAACAACUGUUUAGUUCGAAGUGCUAUGAAGAAAUCAUAUUUAAGCUCUGGAAUUCUCAAUGUGUCCAAAUUAGUCUAAAAAAUGUGUGCACGAUAUAUUUACCAGGAGAUAUUUAUUACUUAUAUCGCAAGUGCUAACUGAUGGACUUUAUUUAGAAGAGAAAUUUUGCUAAAAAUAUUAGAGCAACUGCGAUCAUAGUGGUCUCCAAAAGUUUGUAAGGAACAAAAUAUUCGAAGUUGAAAUUGAAACAAAUUUUAAACAAUAUAUAUAUAUAUAUAUAUUGUGUGGUUAAUAGCAAUUCUGAGGUAGCUGGCUCAGAAAUUAUGUCCAUAUUUUCGUGUUGACAUUGAAGCAUUGUUUAAAGGGCUAAUCCCGAUAAAAUUUUUGAGAAUAAAACUGCUUAAUUGUAUGUUAAAUUUCCUUAAAGUCCUCUACCUAAGGCCCGAGCAACUAACUUAAUAGUUGUGAUACGAUUUCAAACAACAUAAACCUGUCAGUCUUCACCUGGAAAUGGAGACCGGCGUGUCCCAAGCUGUAUUAUGCGGUGUCUGGAUAAAAACAGAUUUUUAUUUCAUAAAAAUAAUGUGUAGGUGAAAUUUACCUUUCAUUACAGCACAUGGGUAAUUCUCUGUAUAGAUCUCUCAAGGAACGGGAAUCGAUUAUCAGGUCACCUAACGAAAAAAUUGACCCGAAAUCUUAAAAGGGUUACGUGUCCGGAUAAGCAGUUUUUACGUUCACAUCCAAACGACUCAAUAUUUUGAGCUGAAAUUUUAAGACAAGGUAAAUACAACAUUCCUCUAUAUUUUGGCGCUUAAAUUUCAUACGUACUCGGACUUUCAUUUUUGAGGUUCUGUUCAAAUCAAAUUCCUCUAUAUUUUGGCGCUUAAAUUUCAUACGUACUCGGACUUUUAUUUUUGAGGUUCUGUUCAAAUCGGGAUAGUCCCUUUAAACAAUAUAAAUGACCUAUAUUAAUAUUGUAACUUUUCCAAGGGUUUAAUGAAAUGUAUCUACAAUCUCUAUUACAUCUGUGUAUAUAUGUAGAUAAAUAUCAUAGUAAAUCUUAAGUAUGUUAAAUUAUUAUACAUACUUCUAUUUAAUACCUCCUGUACAUUUUCCAACCAUGUCAUUAAAAUUCUUAACACGAACUUCAA